rnacentral:rRNA from 1 species
UCGAGAAUCUUCCGCAAUGCACGAAAGUGUGACGGAGCGACGCCGCGUGAUGGAUGAAGGCCUUCGGGUUGUAAACAUCUUUUAUAGAUGAGGAAGUUUAUUGACGUUAGUCUAUGAAUAAGGGGCUCCUAAUCACGUGCCAGCAGGAGCGGUAAUACGUGAGCCCCAAGCAUUAUCCGGAAUCACUGGGCGUAAAGGAUGCGUAGGUGGGAUAACUAGUCGUUGGUUAAAGACCCGGGCUUAACCUGGGGAAGGCCAACGAAACGGUUAUUCUUGAGUAUGUCAGAGGUAUGUGGAACUCUCGGUGUAGGGGUGAAAUCCGUUGAUAUCGAGGGGAACACCAAAAGCGAAGGCAGCAUACUGGGACAUUACUGACACUGAGGCAUGAAACCCUGGGUAG